UUAAAUGAGAGUUUGAUCCUGGCUCAGGACGAACGCUGGCGGCGUGCCUAAUACAUGCAAGUCGAGCGAUGAUUGAAGAUAGCUUGCUAUUUUCAUGAAGAGCGGCGAACGGGUGAGUAACGCGUGGGAAAUCUGCCGAGUAGCGGGGGACAACGUUUGGAAACGAACGCUAAUACCGCAUAACAAUGAGAAUC
rnacentral:rRNA from 1 species